AGUGAACGCUGGCGGUAGGCCUAACACAUGCAAGUCGAACGGCAGCGCAGUAAGAGCUUGCUCUUACGGGUGGCGAGUGGCGGACGGGUGAGGAAUACAUCGGAAUCUACUUUUUCGUGGGGGAUAACGUAGGGAAACUUACGCUAAUACCGCAUACGACCUACGGGUGAAAGCAGGGGAUCUUCGGACCUUGCGCGAUUGAAUGAGCCGAUGUCGGAUUAGCUAGUUGGCGGGGUAAAGGCCCACCAAGGCGACGAUCCGUAGCUGGUCUGAGAGGAUGAUCAGCCACACUGGAACUGAGACACGGUCCAGACUCCUACGGGAGGCAGCAGUGGGGAAUAUUGGACAAUGGGCGCAAGCCUGAUCCAGCCAUACCGCGUGGGUGAAGAAGGCCUUCGGGUUGUAAAGCCCUUUUGUUGGGAAAGAAAAGCAGCAGGUUAAUACCCCGCUGUUCUGACGGUACCCAAAGAAUAAGCACCGGCUAACUUCAUG
rnacentral:rRNA from 1 species